UCCGAUAUGGUCUAGUGGCUAGGAUUUGCCGCUCUCAUCUUCAGAGUUCAAAACACUUUACAGUGCCGGCAAGGCCCGGGUUCGAUUCCCGGUGUCGGAA